GACGAACGCUGGCGGCGUGCCUAAUACAUGCAAGUCGAACGAACCGCGACUAGGUGCUUGCACUUGGUCAAGGUGAGUGGCGAACGGGUGAGUAACACGUGGGUAACCUACCUCAUAGUGGGGGAUAACAGUCGGAAACGACUGCUAAUACCGCAUAGGACAUGGGAUCACAUGAUUCUGUGAGGAAAGGUGGCGCAAGCUAUCGCUAAGAGAUGGACCCGCGGUGCAUUAGCUAGUUGGUAGGGUAACGGCCUACCAAGGCGAUGAUGCAUAGCCGACCUGAGAGGGUGAUCGGCCACAUUGGGACUGAGACACGGCCCAAACUCCUACGGGAGGCAGCAGUAGGGAAUCUUCCGCAAAGGACGCAAGUCUGACGGAGCAACGCCGCGUGAGUGAAGAAGGUCUUCGGAUCGUAAAGCUCUGUUGUUAGAGAAGAACAGCGCAUAGAGUAACUGUUAUGCGUGUGACGGUAUCUAACCAGAAAGCCACGGCUAACUACGUG
rnacentral:rRNA from 1 species